rnacentral:rRNA from 1 species
GAUGAACGCUGGCGGCGUGCCUAAUACAUGCAAGUCGAGCGAACGGACGAGAAGCUUGCUUCUCUGAUGUUAGCGGCGGACGGGUGAGUAACACGUGGAUAACCUACCUAUAAGACUGGGAUAACUUCGGGAAACCGGAGCUAAUACCGGAUAAUAUUUUGAACCGCAUGGUUCAAAAGUGAAAGACGGUCUUGCUGUCACUUAUAGAUGGAUCCGCGCUGCAUUAGCUAGUUGGUAAGGUAACGGCUUACCAAGGCAACGAUGCAUAGCCGACCUGAGAGGGUGAUCGGCCACACUGGAACGGAGACACGGCCCAGACUCCUACGGGAGGCAGCAGUAGGGAAUCUUCCGCAAUGGGCGAAAGCCUGACGGAGCAACGCCGCGUGAGUGAUGAAGGUCUUCGGAUCGUAAAACUCUGUUAUUAGGGAAGAACAUAUGUGUAAGUAACUGUGCACAUCUUGACGGUACCUAAUCAGAAAGCCACGGCUAACUACGUG